GACGAACGCUGGCGGCGUGCUUAACACAUGCAAGUCGAACGGAGCGAAUGAAAGCUUGCUUUUAUGAGCUUAGUGGCAAACGGGUGAGUAACACGUAGACAACCUGCCGACAGGAUGGGGACAACAUUCCGAAAGGAAUGCUAAUACCGAAUGAAGCGGAGGAGAGGCAUCUCUCCUCCGUGAAAGAUGGCCUCUGAACAUGCUAUCACCGUCGAUGGGUCUGCGUCUGAUUAGCUGGUUGGUGAGGUAACAGCUCACCAAGGCGACGAUCAGUAGCCGGUCUGAGAGGAUGAACGGCCACAUUGGGACUGAGACACGGCCCAGACUCCUACGGGAGGCAGCAGUGGGGAAUCUUCUCGCAAUGGGCGCAAGCCUGACGGAGCAACGCCGCGUGAGUGAAGAAGGUCUUCGGAUCGUAAAGCUCUGUUGACGGGGACGAACGUGCGAAGGGUGAAUAAUCCCUUGCAAAGACGGACCCUCGAAGAGCC
rnacentral:rRNA from 1 species